rnacentral:rRNA from 1 species
CGUAGGGUGCGAGCGUUAAUCGGAAUGACUGGGCGUAAAGGGCGCGUAGGCGGUUUGGACAGUCAGAUGUGAAAUUCCUGGGCUCAACCUGGGGGCUGCAUUUGAUACGUUCGGACUAGAGUGGGGAAGAGGGUCGUGGAAUUCCCAGUGUAGAGGUGAAAUUCGUAGAUAUUGGGAAGAACACCGGUGGCGAAGGCGGCGACCUGGUCCUUGACUGACGCUGAGGCGCGAAAGCGUGGGGAGCAAACAGG